CUUGAUUUUGCUUUAGGGACAAGAAGAGGGAAUCCUCAUCCAAUUUGAAAUAUGCUAUUCCUCCUUAGAUUCUCCUUACCGCGUAUUAUUAAUAUUAUUGCCAUUCAACGGUACCUCAUGUGUCAUGAAUAAUUAAUCAAGUCAUACACAUAUCCCUCUAAAUGUACAAUAACAACUAAAAUGUACAAUACCCACACAAUCGUCCAAUACAAACAAUGCAUAGCAAGCCCAAAAGUGUUGCCCAAUACCUCAGAUGAUUCCUCGCAAUUUACGGAUGCAGUGGUAGAGGGGCAUCUGGCCAUCUUCAAAUCCUUCUCUAACAUCAGGACCGAAGCAUGAUUUAUGAACUCUCAACCGAACGCACAAUUGUUGCCUUAUCGUUCACUCGGGUCUGCCGUCUUGUGUACUUCACUUGCUAGGAUCAGAUGGCGCCACAAAGGAUAGUGACACAUUGCUGCGGUCCCAAAAACCUCAGCUACAAGUUUUCCGGUUGGCAACUCACUGCACUCUGCUCAAGUCCUCCUCUGGUUCUUUCCGGUUACUCCCUCGUUAUCUCUGUG
rnacentral:misc_RNA from 1 species